ACACUGAUGGUGAAACGGUAUCAUGCUUGCCUUCCAUAAUUACGUGACUUAGCAAGCGGCACGGGUUCGACUCCCGUUCAGUGUA